rnacentral:rRNA from 1 species
AUGGCUCAGAACGAACGCUGGCGGCAGGCUUAACACAUGCAAGUCGAGCGCCCCGCAAGGGGAGCGGCAGACGGGUGAGUAACGCGUGGGAAUUUGCCCUAUGGUACGGAAUAACUCAGGGAAACUUGAGCUAAUACCGUAUGUGUCCUUCGGGAGAAAGAUUUAUCGCCAUAGGAUGAGCCCGCGUCCGAUUAGCUAGUUGGUGUGGUAAUGGCGCACCAAGGCGACGAUCGGUAGCUGGUCUGAGAGGAUGAUCAGCCACACUGGGACUGAGACACGGCCCAGACUCCUACGGGAGGCAGCAGUGGGGAAUAUUGGACAAUGGGCGCAAGCCUGAAUCCAGCCAUGCCGCGUGAGUGAUGAAGGCCUUAGGGUUGUAAAGCUCUUUCGCCCGCGAGGAUAAUGACGGUAGCGGGAUAAGAAGCCCCGGCUAACUUCGUGCCAGCCGCGGC